rnacentral:rRNA from 1 species
GAUGAACGCUGGCGGCGUGCCUAAUACAUGCAAGUCGAGCGAACAGACGAGGAGCUUGCUCCUCUGACGUUAGCGGCGGACGGGUGAGUAACACGUGGAUAACCUACCUAUAAGACUGGGAUAACUUCGGGAAACCGGAGCUAAUACCGGAUAAUAUAUUUAACCGCAUGGUUCAAUAGUGAAAGACGGUUUUGCUGUCACUUAUAGAUGGAUCCGCGCCGCAUUAGCUAGUUGGUAAGGUAACGGCUUACCAAGGCAACGAUGCGUAGCCGACCUGAGAGGGUGAUCGGCCACACGGAAACUGAGACACGGUCCAGACUCCUACGGGAGGCAGCAGUAGGGAAUCUUCCGCAAUGGGCGAAAGCCUGACGGAGCAACGCCGCGUGAGUGAUGAAGGUCUUCGGAUCGUAAAACGCUGUUAUUAGGGAAGAACAAAUGUGUAAGUAACUAUGCACGUCUUGACGGUACCUAAUCAGAAAGCCACGGCUAACUACGU